ACCUGCGGGCACCAGAGUUACAGUGUUUUUUUGUUGUUGUGGGGAGGCGGAGCCCACGUGCUCUUGCAGAGUCUGAAGGCCUUUUGGAACCGCUAUUUCCGCAGGAGAGUAGGAACCGGCCCGGCUGAUUAGGAGGGUGUGGUCUAUCACCUACAGCCGGCGGAAUUGUGCGGGCUGGCGAACAUUCUUAAUGCUGCGCACUAGGAGAAUUCACUUCUGAGGUCUUCGAACCAGAAAACAAGAACACUUGACUGUUUAAAAAAACACAGGUGCCUGUGCCAUGUGAUAACCAGGAGAUACAGCCCAGGGCGGGGGAGUACGUGUCCAACCAAAGCAGCCUCCAACCCGGCACCACCACUACUGGCCGAGAGGCACUGGGCAAACUAGUCUCUUCACCCAUAUCCACCUACUAGGGUGGUUACGAGAACGAAGUGAGAUCAUCCGUGUAAAGCUCUCAGCGACAUGCCAUGCAGUAUUCAAAGGACGGCUGCUUCCUGUUCUGCCUUGGUUGUCACCUAAUCAUCUGCGAUUUCUACCGGAACAAUGAAGGUGAUGUUUCCACCUCAAAGUAAGCUUAUAAGGACUUCUGGAAGGAGAAGAGUCAGCGGCCCAUAAGAUGGUAACUGAGCUUUCUUACGUUGCACACUGUUCCAGACGUUCGGUGCAGCUAUCAACGUUAACAAACAGAGACGGUGUCAGGAAGAGAGCCAUAUCUGGACUGGCCCCUUGAUUCUGAACACCAUAAUUAUGAGAAGAAAUGACUCGACACUCCCAGAAGGUGUGACUUCGUGCCAGUCCAAAGCAACCUCUUGUGUGCUGGAGGAACCAUGGACCUGACUUGCCACUUCUGACUCCACGCAGUUGCAGGUCUCCUUUUCCCAGCUACUGUCUCCUUUCUGGGAACUGUCCUUUCCACACGAAGGGCUGGGUCCAGCCACAGCAGCCUGUUCCUUCUCCAACACCCUGGUUUGACAUCUCAAGCCACGUUCUUUCUCCUGAGAAUUUGGGUAUGAGAUUCAGUCCCUGCUGAAGGACAGAAACCAGCCUGCAGAUACAGAACGAGGUGGAUGAUAAUGUUGAUAGGUACCAGAAUUGAGAGCUCAGUAUGUGUCAGGUACCGUUCUAAGAGUUUUUCACAUGUUGACUAAUUUAAUCAUCACCACAACUCUACGAAGUAGAUAUGUUCAUCAUUUCCCCCUUUUUACAUCACUUCCCUUUUUGAGGAAAUUCAGGUGUGAGAGUAUUUGCCCAGGGUCACAUAGCUAUUAAGUCUGGACACAGGCAAGAGUAGAGGAUCUUACCUCCAGACAGAAAAGCAGAGUGUCCUCACGGUUCUUUGGUCUUGCCCUUCUUUCUCACGGAUUCCAUGACAUGUUUCAGGAUCUUGCCAAUGAAUUCCUUUUUUGCUUUAACAGUCUGAAGUGGGGUUUUGUUCUUAAACCAAGGGAACUUAUGUUAAGACGGUGGCCCUGGCCUAUUAGAUCUGUUGCAUUCAACAUUAGAGGAUGUUUUUGAGAUUAACAACCAUAGAUAAGUGACUAUGGAAAACGGUUUGUUAAUGAUUCAAUUCCAUUACAAAGUUUAAAAUUGGUUAAAUCACAAUGAAGAAGGUCUCCUAGAAGAGAUUACAGGAGCAGUAAAAGCCUCCUUUUCCGGAAAACACGAUUUUAAGCAGUAACGAUGGGGUAAGCUCAUCACUAGCAGUGUGCCCUACAGAGGACGUGGUGAUUUGAUGUGUGUGUGCAUAUGCCAGUGUGUUGGGAGAGAGGUUGUGUGUUUUCUAUCAAGCCUGGAAAAGCUGGAAGGCAAUGUUGGGGCUGACGGAGGUGAGGAAAGGUGAGCCAGGUGAAUACGAUCGGAGAGCUUGUGCCUUUAAGGUAUGAUUCAAAGGGUGUUUGCAACCCAAGGUGAAAUUAGUACAGAAGGAUAAUGAAUACAUUGAAAUUGGUGAGAUACUUAAUACUGCCUAGGUUUUAUUUCCUUUAAAUCUUGCUGAAAGUACCAAUUAUGCAGCUGCAUUACUCUUUCUAGAGUGUUCUUGAUUAAUACAUACUGCUAGUGCAUAGACUUUUUAAAGAGUAACCAACUGGCUGAAUCAUGUACAUUUUCAUUGGAAAAACUAGUGAUGUGCCUAGAGUGAGUCUGCCUGAUGUCCAGAUAGCUAGCUGAUCUCAUUGCCCAGUGGUCAACUGUAGCUGCCAGAAGAGCUGGCAAAGCGUCUCAGGACACUGAUUUCGCCUUUCUCCUCCCAGCCUGAAAAAAAUACAACCUCAAAAUGUUUGUGUUUGACAUUCUUUCCAGAAGGAAGUAACAAGGAAAUAAUUCACUUGUGGCUUAGGUUGACUGGCAUGGAAACGGGGGCUCUUUCUCCUUUGGCUCAGGUCAGGGAGUAGUCAGUCCCUGUGGGAGGCAGAGCGCCUUCUGCUGAAGAAUGGGCAAAGGAAAGAGAAAUGAAAUGGAGAGGAAAUGGCCAGAGAGGAGGAUGCGUCAGGAGCGGGAGAGUUGAAACAUUAGGACACAUGACGAAAUGGAGACACUGUGUGACAUGAAAGGAUGCAGGUAAUGCCAAACCUCCAGACUACAGAGCAAACCCAAAGAAACAGUGUAUUCUUUCAUCUAAUCUGUGCCUCCAUAAGUCUCUCAUCAUUUUCCCAAUAUUUGAGAAGAAUGUGCCUUCCUGGCUUAGUCAACCUUGGGAAAGGCUGGGAUGGGGGCCCUUCUCUUACUCAAACGAAAAGCCUCAGAGAUGCAACCAGGAGGGAAGAAGGGCUCAGUCUUCUGCGUCAGAAAUGAUUCUUCCAAAGCAGGUACCACGAAACUAUCUCUAAAGGGAGAAUGCAUAGUGCCCUGGUCACCACAUUGCACAACUCCAGAGAAUGCCAUUCACACUCCAGACUAUUUUAGCUCAUGGAGUGGCAUUGGGUAUUAUACUCGUGGCUGUACACAACAACUCUGCAGAAUCAUGUAGCUUUAAAAAAAAAAAUCACCAGAUAACAAGAAGUUCAUAUUGUAGUCAAUUCGCUAAUUUGUUUUCAUUAAUAAGGAGCUCUAAAUGCACACAACGAUUAAAGCACUCUUAAAUUUCA